rnacentral:lncRNA from 1 species
ACCAGUAGAGAUUACUUUGUGAACUUGUGAGGGAGAGAUGAGACCUUGAGAGAGGAGUGGGCAGCUGCAUAGAGGAGAGGAAAAAGAGAGCUGGAAAACGUGAGAGGAAGAAGAAGGAGGAGAACCAGCAGCUGAAUAGUGUCAAACCUUCCUCAAACUUAGUUAAAUUCAGAAGGUGGUGCGGUCGGGAUUGGACCAUCAUCAAGACAGGAACGACCCACAGGUGGAGCAGGUAGGUGACUUGCACCUUUCUUUUUCAUACGUUGAAUCUUGGAAUAUUUUAACUUGAGUACUACCAUAUUGUUAGAACCGAUAUUAAAUUGUCGAACGCUUAAUUGUUGAUAAAAGAGUGAUUAGCUUCGGCUAAUGGCAUCCGAAUGGAUGGCCGGGACAAAAGACUGAUUAGCUUCGGCUAAUGGCAUCCAAACGGAUGGCCGGGACAAAGAAUGAUUAGCUUUGGCUAAUGGCGUCCGAAUGGAUGGCCGGGAUGAAGGACUGAUUAGCUUCGGCUAAUGACAUCCAAACGGAUGGCCGGGACAAAGAGUGAUUAGCUUCGGCUAAUGGCAUCUGAAUGGAUGGCCGGGACAAAGAAUGAUUAGCUUUGGCUAAUGGCGUCCGAAUGGAUGGCCGGGUUAAAAAGGGAUGAUUUCGCUGCCGAUUGUGGAUCGGCAGCGACGCAGUUCCGCUGCCGAUUCUGGAUCGGCAGCGACACAGUAUUCGCUGCCGAUUCUGGAUCGGCCGCGACCCAGUUUCGCUGCCGAUUCCUUGAUCGGCAGCGAUGUAGUUUCGGCUGCCGAUUUUAGGAUUGGCAGCGACGCAGCUAUCGCUAUGCUAUCGCUAUGGAAUCCGGGACAAAUAAACGACUAGUUUUGGCGAAUGGCAUUUGAAAACUUGUGUAUCUAUAUGUACUACUAAUUGUUACAUCAAAUACAUGAAGAAAUUAUAAAUGUUAAUGCUUAUUUAAUUGCUAGGCCGUUAGUUACCAUUAUUAUUAUUAUUAAGUAUUUGUUUUCUCUUAAAUGUUUUGUACUGCUGCAGGGACGUCACACCAACGAGAUGUCUAGGAUACCCGAUACACGGGAACCUACUUUUGCAAGGAAUUAAGUAGAUGCAUUCUAAAUCACAAUGUAUUUUGUAGGGAUCAAUGUACUGAAUGUAUAACUUUUAUUAGAUCCUUUUUGUUUAAAAAUUGUGAUGGCUAUUAGAAGUAUAAGAGUGCAAACUCAUGUCCAUGUAUAUAUAUUUUUAAUAUGAACUUCAAAUCAUGCAACCUUAAUAUUAUGUGUUUGUGUAAGAUUCGCUUUUGAAUGAACUGUUGAUUGUUUGGAUUGUAUUUUGAUGAUGUGAGGAUUCAAGUUCUUUGAUUACCGGCACCAUGUGUAUUAAAUAUAUAUAUAUAUAUAAAAAAAAAAUUUACUAUUGUUUUGGGCUUAGAAAGCCGGGUUGUUACAGUUGGUAUCAGAGCACUUGGUAUGGAUCCUGAGGAUCAUUAAUAAAUGUGUUGUUGCGAUGAAUUUCAGGAUGGUACGCACCCGACAAGGGACAUGAAC